CAGAGAUGAUGCUAGGUAGCUGAUAGAUCUGUAGUUCAACUUGAUUCCUAGAUAGAAGCUGGAUUCAUCUAAUACCAGAAAAAUGAAAUUUCACGUUACUGAAACUAGAUCUGAGUCUCACUUCUUUCCCAGCCUGGAACUCCUGGGUGCUGUGAGUCCUGGAUAUGUAAUAGAUGGUGACAACAUCUUUCUUUUAUGCAUGAAGGUAGAUGAUUCUUCAAAUUAAAGAUGGAAGCUGACUUCUCACCAGAAAUGGUUUAUAGAAUCAACUUACAAAAAUGUCAGAGGCAGCGAAGGAAAGAGUAAAAUAUUUCUAUCAGCCUUCGAUUCUUUGCUAGAUUGUAAAGUUCAUGACAGCAGAAUAACUUCCUUAUCCCUAAUGCCUGGCCCAGAAUAGAUACUCAAAAAAUAGUUGAAAUGAAUGGAAAUCUCCCUUGAUUUUUUUUUUCUUCCUUUUUUAAUCUCUGGAAAAUGGCAACCAUCGUAAUGGCAUUUCCACAAGACAUUUACAUGGAAUAACUAGGACUUAAAUUUUGAUUCUGAUGUAAAAUGUACAUGUAGGUACAUUAAACUAUCUUGGUAACAAUAAGUCUACUUAAAACUCUUAAUAUUUGAGGCCAGCCCCUUGGCGAAGUGGUUAGGUUCUCAUGCUCCACUUCGGCAGCAUAGGGUUUUGCUACUUUGAAUCCCGGGUGCAGACCUAACACUGCUCAUCAA